UUUAUAUAAAAACCAAUUUUGUUUUUUUGUUUUGUUAGUUUCGCUUGGGGUAGCUAUCUUUGAGAUUUUACUUAUGUUGACCUUGAGGAUACAUGGAACAAAAUAGAUAAUUAUUUAUCACUUUCUGAGCGUCGUCAAACUUUAAAGUACUCCGUCUCAGGAUUUACGGCUCCAAUAAGGAUAUGGAUAUAUGAGAUGAUUCCGGCUGUUCGUGCAUGUGGAUUUGUAUUGAGAAAAAAUAAAGACAUGCCUCGAAUGAAACGAUGGAAUGGAACAAAAAAAUUGAAAUGGGUUGACGUGAACAAGAUUUGGUCAAAGAUACAGGAGGGGCAACCACCAAGACAAAACAUGUUACCGGGUGAUGGUGAGAUGACAUCUUGUUAUUAUAUGUCAUUUCAAGAGUAUGUAUAUGGUGAAGGGAAAGCAGUUCCAUCCCCAGUACGGGACCAUUUUAGGAGAUAAGACGAAUCUUCGUCUAGUAUGUCGUCCAAUAGUCGCUCUCAUGGUAGAGGUAGGGGCAGUGGGAAACACAACCUAGACGAGGUGUUGAAAAUUUUACACCCUCGAAGUUUGCUCAUGCAACGAAGUAGAUUGUUACUACUGUGAUUCGA